UUCCUACGGGAGGCAGCAGUGAGGAAUAUUGCGCAAUGGGGGAAACCCUGACGCAGCGACGCCGCGUGAGUGAGGAAGGCCUUCGGGUCGUAAAGCUCUGUCAGAUGGGAAGAAGUGCUAUACGGUUAAUACCCGUAUGGUUUGACGGUACCAUCAGAGGGAGCACCGGCUAACUCCGUGCCAGCAGCCGCGGUAAUACGGAGGGUGCGAGCGUUGUUCGGAAUCACUGGGCGUAAAGGGCGCGCAGGCGGCUUGUUAAGUCAGAUGUGAAAGCCCACGGCUUAACCGUGGAAGUGCAUUUGAAACUGGCAGGCUUGAGUACCAGAGGGGAAGGUGGAAUUCCCGGUGUAGAGGUGAAAUUCGUAGAUAUCGGGAGGAAUACCGGUGGCGAAGGCGACUUUCUGGCUGGAUACUGACGCUGAGGCGCGAAAGCGUGGGGAGCAAACAGGAUUAGAUACCCUGGUAGUCCACGCCGUAAACGAUGUGAACUAGAUGUUGGAGGUAUUGAUCCCUUCGGUGUCGGAGCUAACGCAUUAAGUUCACCGCCUGGGGAGUACGGUCGCAAGAUUAAAACUCAAAUGAAUUGACGGAA
rnacentral:rRNA from 1 species